AGAACGAACGCUGGCGGCGUGGAUAAGACAUGCAAGUCGAACGAGACUUUUCGUUGUAGCAAUACGAUGGAAAGUUUAGUGGCGAACGGGUGCUUAACACGUGGGCAACCUGCCAUGAAGUGGGGGAUAGCUCGCCGAAAGGCGAAUUAAUACCGCAUGUGCUUAGAGAGGACAUCCUUUCGAAAUUAAAGUCGGGGCAACCUGACGCUUCUUGUGGGGCCCCGCGGCCUAUCAGCUAGUUGGCGAGGUAACGGCUCACCAAGGCGACGACGGGUAGC
rnacentral:rRNA from 1 species